CACUAACACGUGGGCAACCUGCCUGUAAGASUGGGAUAACCCCGGGAAACCGGGGCUAAUACCGGAUAAUACUUUUCAUCACAUGGUGAGAAGUUGAAAGGCGGCUUUUGCUGUCACUUACAGAUGGGCCCGCGGCGCAUUAGCUAGUUGGUGGGGUAAUGGCUCACCAAGGCGACGAUGCGUAGCCGACCUGAGAGGGUGAUCGGCCACACUGGGACUGAGACACGGCCCAGACUCCUACGGGAGGCAGCAGUAGGGAAUCUUCCGCAAUGGACGAAAGUCUGACGGAGCAACGCCGCGUGAGUGAUGAAGGUUUUCGGAUCGUAAAACUCUGUUGUUAGGGAAGAACAAGUACCGUUCGAAUAGGGCGGUACCAUGACGGUACCUAACCAGGAAAGCCCCGGCUAACUACGUGCCAGCAGCCGCGGUAAUACGUAGGGGGCAAGCGUUGUCCGGAAUUAUUGGGCGUAAAGCGCUCGCAGGCGGUCUUUUAAGUCUGAUGUGAAAGCCCACGGCUUAACCGUGGGAGGGUCAUUGGAAACUGGAGGACUUGGAGUACAGGAAGAGGGAGAGGUGGAAUUCCCCCGUGGUACCGGUGAAAUGCGUUAGAAAUGUGGGAGGAACACCAGUUGGCGAAAGGCGACUCUCUGGUUCUGUUAACUGACGCUUAAGGAGCGAA
rnacentral:rRNA from 1 species